rnacentral:rRNA from 1 species
UACGUAGGGUGCAAGCGUUGUCCGGAAUUAUUGGGCGUAAAGAGCUCGUAGGCGGCUUGUCACGUCGACUGUGAAAACCCGGGGCUCAACUCCGGGCCUGCAGUCGAUACGGGCUGGCUUGAGUGCGGUAGGGGAGACUGGAAUUCCUGGUGUAGCGGUGAAAUGCGCAGAUAUCGGGAGGAACACCAGUGGCGAAGGCGACUACCUGGCCUGUUCUUGACGCUGAGGCGCGAAAGCUAGGGGAGCAAACGGG